ACUACGAGUUUGAUCCUGGCUCAGAUUGAACGCUGGCGGCAGGCCUAACACAUGCAAGUCGAGCGGAUGAAAGGGGCUUGCUCCUGGAUUCAGCGGCGGACGGGUGAGUAAUGCGCAGGAAUCUACCUAGUAGUGGGGGAUAACGUUUCGAAAGGAACGCUAAUACCGCAUACGUUCUGAGGAAGAAAGCAGGGGACCUUCGGGCCUUGCGCUAUCAGAUGAGCCCAGGUCGGAUUAGCUAGUAGGUGAGGUAAAGGCUCACCUAGGCGACGAUCCGUAGCUGGUCUGAGAGGAUGAUCAGCCACACUGGAACUGAGACACGGUCCAGACUCCUACGGGAGGCAGCAGUGGGGAAUUUUGGACAAUGGGGGCAACCCUGAUCCAGCAAUGCCGCGUGAGUGAAGAAGGCCUUCGGGUUGUAAAGCUCUUUUGUUUGGGAAGAAAUCCCUAAGGAUAAUACCCUUGGGGGAUGACGGUACCAAAAGAAUAAGCACCGGCUAACUACGUG
rnacentral:rRNA from 1 species